rnacentral:rRNA from 1 species
AGGGCCGCUACCACGCGAGUGGAUGCCAAUCCCUAAAACCCCUCUCAGUUCGGACUGGAGUCUGCAACCCGACUCCACGAAGCUGGAUUCGCUAGUAAUCGCGCAUCAGCCACGGCGCGGUGAAUACGUUCCCGGGCCUUGUACACACCGCCCGUCAAGCCAUGGGAGCCGGGGGGUACCUGAAGUGCGUAACCGCGAGGAUCGCCCUAGGGUAAAACUGGUGACUGGGGGCUAAGUCGUAACAAGGUAGC